GACGAACGCUGGCGGCGUGCCUAACACAUGCAAGUCAACUUGAGGGAAGGAGCAAUCUGACCUGAUGGUGGCGCAAGGGUGCGUAACGCGUAAGUAACUUGCCCAAGGUAAGGAAUAACGUCGAGAAAUCGGCGCUAAUACCUCGUAAUGCAGCGGAUCCGCAUGGAUAUGUUGUUAAAGGUUUACCGCCUUGGGAUAGGCUUGCGUCUGAUUAGCUAGUUGGUGUGGUAAUGGCACACCAAGGCUACGAUCAGUAACUGGUCUGAGAGGAUGAUCAGUCA
rnacentral:rRNA from 1 species